UGUGUCGUGUGUGUGUAGUGUGUGUGUAUGUGUGUUGUGUGUGUGUGUGUGUGUGUUUAUUAUAUAUGUAAUAAUAGUAUAUACUAUAAUAUAUAUCUUAUAUAUAUAUAUCUAAACACACAAACACACACACACACACACACACACACACACACACACACACCGACACACACACACACACAC